rnacentral:rRNA from 1 species
GACAGAGGGAGCUAGCGUUGUUCGGAAUGACUGGGCGUAAAGGGUGCGUAGGCGGUUAUUUAAGUAGAGUGUUAAAGCCCCAGGCUUAACCUGGGAAUCGCGCUCUAAACUGGAUGACUAGAGUAUGGGAGAGGAAAGCGGAAUUCCUAGUGUAGAGGUGAAAUUCGUAGAUAUUAGGAGGAACACCAGAGGCGAAGGCGGCUUUCUGGCCCAUUACUGACGCUGAGGCACGAAAGCGUGGGGAGCAAACAGG